GCCAGAACCAUAGAUUCGGAAGAAUUUCGUUCCCAUCAGAUCACGAAAGUUUAAGUAGAUAGUACUUGGAUGGGUGACCGCCUGGGAACUCUGUGUGGUGUUGGCU
rnacentral:rRNA from 13 species